rnacentral:rRNA from 1 species
UCGCCCUUAGAGUUUGAUCCUGGCUCAGGAUGAACGCUGGCGGCGUGCUUAACACAUGCAAGUCGAACGGGAUCCAUCGGGCUUUGCCUGGUGGUGAGAGUGGCGAACGGGUGAGUAAUGCGUGACCGACCUGCCCCAUGCACCGGAAUAGCUCCUGGAAACGGGUGGUAAUGCCGGAUGCUCCAUCACACCGCAUGGUGUGUUGGGAAAGCCUUUGCGGCAUGGGAUGGGGUCGCGUCCUAUCAGCUUGAUGGCGGGGUAACGGCCCACCAUGGCUUCGACGGGUAGCCGGCCUGAGAGGGCGACCGGCCACAUUGGGACUGAGAUACGGCCCAGACUCCUACGGGAGGCAGCAGUGGGGAAUAUUGCACAAUGGGCGCAAGCCUGAUGCAGCGACGCCGCGUGAGGGAUGGAGGCCUUCGGGUUGUAAACCUCUUUUGUUAGGGAGCAAGGCACUUUGUGUUGAGUGUACCUUUCGAAUAAGCACCGGCUAACUACGUGCCAGCAGCCGCGGUAAUACGUAGGGUGCAGGCGUUAUCCGGAAUUAUUGGGCGUAAAGGGCUCGUAGGCGGUUCGUCGCGUCCGGUGUGAAAGUCCAUCGCUUAACGGUGGAUCCGCGCCGGGUACGGGCGGGCUUGAGUGCGGUAGGGGAGACUGGAAUUCCCGGUGUAACGGUGGAAUGUGUAGAUAUCGGGAAGAACACCAAUGGCGAAGGCAGGUCUCUGGGCCGUUACUGACGCUGAGGAGCGAAAGCGUGGGGAGCGAACAGGAUUAGAUACCCUGGUAGUCCGCGCCCGUAAACGGUGGAUGCUGGAUGUGGGGCCCGUUCCGCGGGUUCCCGUGUCGGAGCUAACGCGUUAAGCAUCCCCGCCCUGGGGAGUACGGGCCGCAAGGGCUAAAACUCAAAGAAAUUGACGGGGGGCCCGCACAAGCGGUGGAGCAUGUGGUUUAAUUCGAAGCAACGCGAAGAACCUUACCAGCCCUUGACAUCCAAUGAGCUUUUUAGAGAUAGAUUUCUGCUUUGGAGAACAUUAAGACAGGUGCUGCAUGCAUGUCGUCAUCUGGUGUCGUGAGAUGAUGGGGUAAGUACUGUAGCGAGGACAACCCUUGUCGUUAGUAGCCAGCAUGUAAUAGUGGGCCCUUUUAAGAGGCUUCCGGUGGCAAACCGGAGGAAGAGGGGGAGAAGGUCAAGUCUUCAUGUCCCCUACGGCGUGGGGUACACACGUGUUACAAUAGUCGGGACAGAGUGGUUACAGAACCGCGAGAGGUAGAUAAUAUCCAUAAAAAGCCUUGUAAUCUGGGUUUGCAGUCUGCAACUCGAGUGCAUGAAGUCGGAAUCGCUAGUAAUCGUGAAUCAGAAUGUCGCGGUGAAUACGUUCCCGGGCCUUGUACACACCGCCCGUCACACCAUGGGAGUGGGUUGCACCAGAAGUAGCUAGUCUAACCUUAGGGAGGCAGGUUACCACGGUAGGAUUAAUGACUGGGGUGAA